rnacentral:rRNA from 1 species
UACGUAGGGUGCGAGCGUUGUCCGGAAUUACUGGGCGUAAAGAGCUCGUAGGUGGUUGUCGCGUUGUUCGUGAAAACUCACAGCUUAACUGUGGGCGUGCGGGCGAUACGGGCAGACUGGAGUACUGUAGGGGAGACUGGAAUUCCUGGUGUAGCGGUGAAAUGCGCAGAUAUCAGGAGGAACACCGGUGGCGAAGGCGCUCGUGCUGGACCAUAACUGACACUCAGGGACGAAAGCUAGGGGAGCGAAUGGG